GCUGUUGUAGCUCAGGGGUAGAGCACUUCCUUGGUAAGGAAGAGGUCUUGGGUUCAAAUCCCAAUAACAGCU
rnacentral:tRNA from 1 species